rnacentral:rRNA from 1 species
GACGAACGCUGGCGGCGUGCCUAAUACAUGCAAGUUGAGCGAUGAAGAUUGGUGCUUGCACCUAUUUGAAGAGCAGCGAACGGGUGAGUAACGCGUGGGGAAUCUGCCUUUGAGCGGGGGACAACAUUUGGAAACGAAUGCUAAUACCGCAUAACAACUUUAAACAUAAGUUUUAAGUUUGAAAGAUGCACUUGCAUCACUCAAAGAUGAUCCCGCGUUGUAUUAGCUAGUUGGUGAGGUAAAGGCUCACCAAGGCGAUGAUACAUAGCCGACCUGAGAGGGUGGUCGGCCACAUCUGGACUGAGACACGGCCCAAACUCCUACGGGAGGGAGCAGGAGGGAAUCUUCGGCAAUGGACGAAAGGCUGACCGAGGAACGCCGGGGGAGUGAAGAAGGGUUUCGGAUCGGAAAACUCUGGUGGUAGAGAAGGACGUUGGGGGGAGUGGAAAGCGCAUCAAGUGACGGUAACUACCCAGAAAGGGACGGCUAACUACGUG